rnacentral:rRNA from 1 species
GGAUGCGGCCAUACCAGCACUAAAGCACCGAAUCCCAUCAGAACUCCGAAGUUAAGCGUGCUUGGG